rnacentral:tmRNA from 1 species
GGGGCUGACCUGGAUUUGACAGCAAGGUAAAUGGAUGUGCAAGCAUGCCGAGCCAUGUGACUACGCUCGUAAAACAGGGUCACGCAACAAUAACUGGCGAAACCAAUUUUGCGCUCGCAGCCUAAUCUCUGAAUGAGAGAGGGCUUAAUCCCGGCACAAGGUGCCGGGACGGGCUAUCUCCCGGAGACUCUGCCCGGCGGUGUCCGAUCCGGAGGUACCAAAAAAGCCAGGGCUGGUCAGGAUGAUGUCCCGCCAUCCUGAUGAGAAAACGGGGACUAAGGUUCAGGUAGGCUGUCUGCUGCCAGCCUGAUCCCGACAACAUAAAGCAGACUAAGCAUGUAGAAACCACUUCUGUUUCUUGUCUGGACCGGGGUUCGACUCCCCGCAGCUCCACAA